rnacentral:rRNA from 2 species
UACGUAGGGGGCAAGCGUUAUCCGGAAUUACUGGGUGUAAAGGGAGCGUAGGCGGCAAGGUAAGUAAGAUGUGAAAGCCCGCAGCUUAACUGCGAGGAUUGCAUUUUAAACUAUCUAGCUUGAGUACAGGAGAGGUAAGCGGAAUUCCUAGUGUAGCGGUGAAAUGCGUAGAUAUUAGGAAGAACACCAGUGGCGAAGGCGGCUUACUGGACUGUAACUGACGCUGAGGCUCGAAAGCGUGGGGAGCGAACAGG